rnacentral:rRNA from 1 species
UAUGGUGGUUAUACCGGGGGUGUUCACCUCUUCCCUUUCCGAACAGAGAAGUUAAGUCCCCCAUGGCCGAUGGUACUGCAAAAAAAUGUGGGAGAGUAGGUAGCCGCCAUUC